CGAUUUAGAACCCUCUAAUGCUUAAGUCAGCCGGGGUUUUGAGAAACAAGUAGUAAAAAUAGAGAAGUAGAAAGCAAGAAAUGGGAGUUUGAGUGGAAAAAAGUGGAGAGAACUCUAAUUUCUUUUGAAGAAUCUGGCAGAGUUUUAUCUCUAUUCACUCAUACUUGACUUAUCUUUCGGAGAGCACAUUGUCCCCCUUUUAUAGAGAAAGCUCACUAAAGCCUUAAGUUGUUAGGAUGUUAGAGAUUUGUUAGGCUGCUAGGCCAUUGGAGAUCUGUUAGGCUGUU
rnacentral:lncRNA from 1 species